AUUGAACGCUGGCGGCAUGCUUUACACAUGCAAGUCGAACGGUAACAGGCCUUCGGGCGCUGACGAGUGGCGGACGGGUGAGUAACGCGUAGGAAUCUGCCUCAUAGUGGGGGACAACGUGUGGAAACGCACGCUAAUACCGCAUACGCCAUACGGGGGAAAGCGGGGGACCUUCGGGCCUCGCGCUAUGAGAUGAGCCUGCGUUAGAUUAGCUAGUUGGUAGGGUAAAGGCCUACCAAGGCGACGAUCUAUAGCUGGUCUGAGAGGACGAUCAGCCACACUGGGACUGAGACACGGCCCAGACUCCUACGGGAGGCAGCAGUGGGGAAUAUUGGACAAUGGGCGCAAGCCUGAUCCAGCAAUACCGCGUGUGUGAAGAAGGCCCUAGGGUUGUAAAGCACUUUCAAUAGGGAGGAAAACCUGUCGGUCAAUACCCGGCAGCUUGACGUUACCUAUACAAGAAGCACCGGCUAACUCCGUGCCAGCCGCCGCGGUAACAC
rnacentral:rRNA from 1 species